CGACAGGUGCUGCAUGGCUGUCGUCAGCUCGUGUCGUGAGAUGUUGGGUUAAGUCCCGCAACGAGCGCAACCCUUGUCAUUAGUUGCCAUCAUUUGGUUGGGCACUCUAAUGAGACUGCCGGUGACAAACCGGAGGAAGGUGGGGAUGACGUCAAGUCCUCAUGGCCCUUAUGGGUAGGGCUUCACACGUCAUACAAUGGUCGGUACAGAGGGUUGCCAACCCGCGAGGGGGAGCUAAUCCCACAAAGCCGAUCGUAGUCCGGAUCGCAGUCUGCAACUCGACUGCGUGAAGUCGGAAUCGCUAGUAAUCGUGGAUCAGCAUGUCACGGUGAAUACGUUCCCGGGUCUU
rnacentral:rRNA from 1 species